CACGUAGGUCGCAAGCGUUGUCCGGAAUUAUUGGGCGUAAAGAGCUCGUAGGCGGUCUGUUGCGUCCGCUGUGAAAACUCGGGGCUUAACCCCGAGCCUGCAGUGGAUACGGGCAGACUAGAGGUAGGUAGGGGAGAAUGGAAUUCCCGGUGUAGCGGUGAAAUGCGCAGAUAUCGGGAGGAACACCGGUGGCGAAGGCGGUUCUCUGGGCCUUACCUGACGCUGAGGAGCGAAAGCGUGGGGAGCGAACAGG
rnacentral:rRNA from 1 species